rnacentral:rRNA from 1 species
AUUGAACGCUGGCGGCAUGCUUUACACAUGCAAGUCGAACGGUAACAGGCCGCGAGGUGCUGACGAGUGGCGAACGGGUGAGUAAUGCAUCGGAACGUGCCCAGUCGUGGGGGAUAACGCAGCGAAAGCUGCGCUAAUACCGCAUACGAUCUAUGGAUGAAAGCGGGGGACCUGUAAGGGCCUCGCGCGAUUGGAGCGGCCGUUGUCAGAUUAGGUAGUUGGUGGGGUAAAGGCUCACCAAGCCGACGAUCUGUAGCUGGUCUGAGAGGACGACCAGCCACACUGGGACUGAGACACGGCCCAGACUCCUACGGGAGGCAGCAGUGGGGAAUUUUGGACAAUGGGCGCAAGCCUGAUCCAGCAAUGCCGCGUGCAGGAAGAAGGCCUUCGGGUUGUAAACUGCUUUUGUACGGAACGAAACGGCUCUGGUUAAUACCUGGGGCUAAUGACGGUACCGUAAGAAUAAGCACCGGCUAACUACGUGCCAGCCGCCGCUGUAACAC